CAUUCAUGUUCUAAACAGAAAGGUGUUUCGGGACUCAGAAACGCUCCCCACAAUAGCUUCCCAGCCCCGGGAGUUCAGGGACACUCGUGACCUUGGGAGAACCAGGAACGGGCAAGAAAGAAGGGGGCUUCACCCACAAGUGCAGGGUCUCUGCGCUCAAGGGCCUCCACCUGUUCCAAGAUGCAAAACACCACCCCAGUGGAGGAAAUGGAGGGGCUUCCAUCCACACCUCCAUGGCUCGUGGGCAUGAACUGCUGAACAAAACCUGGAGCAGGGUGCGCUGGCAUGUUCCUACAGGUCCAGCCCUUGGGACUUGAGGGCAGAGGAUUAGGAGUUCAGGACCAGUUCAGCCACAGGAGGAGUUGGAAGCCAGCCUGAGCCACAUGAGGCCCUUUCUCAAGUCCUCCAAACCAAACAAGCGCAGGACUUCGGGAGUGUCUACACCAGCACUGAAGAUCUGGAUGUGCAAAACAUCUUUGGCAUGGAUGGCUGCCCACAUGCAGGGAGAGCAAACAGCCCAAGAACAAAGACGGGACUUCUAAGACCAGCCUCGACUGUACCAAUGCAGUCCCCUGGCCCAGUCACCUGGGCCAGAAAUUCUGUGGGCAGGAUGGAAAUUGCCCACCCUGUCUGGCAGCCUUACCCCUGAUAUUUCAAAGAAAGCAACGGUCCCACCUUGAACCCCACGUUGACUACCUCAGCUGCAGAACUGUUUUAGGUUUCUGAGACACCGCUGCUGUUGCCUAGCACCUCGAGCAGUCAAAAGACUUUGCAUUCACUGCCUGAACCAACACUGGAUCUGUCACAUCGUCGCAGCAUUAACACUGGUAUGAGAGAACCCACCCACUGCCGCAGGAGAAACCUUGUAUCUCACAGUUUCAUGCCAUUACUUAUCCGAUCCCACAGAUGCCUAUCUCAGAGAAUUCAACAUGUAUGAGUUACUUCUCCAGUGCUGUGAGUAAACACAUGACCAAGGCGACUUAUGGAAGGAAAGGUUGAUUUGAGUUCCAUAGGGAUAAAAGUCCAUCACCAUCAUGCCAGGGAGUGAUGCGGAACGCAAGCGUGGCAACUGGAACUUCAAGCUGAGGGUUUAUAUCUCCAUCCACUGAUUGCUUCCAUCAAGCUAUCUGUCUACCCUUAUGUGAUUACCAUGCUGUUCAUGUGCCUGCCAGCCAGAUUGAUUCAGCAGACCUUCACAACAAUCCUGAGAACCGGUCAAGACUGCCAUCGUCACCCCAAUUUACAGAAAACACAGGGAGAGACACUGCUUCUACAAAAUCACAUAGCACUUGGAGGCAGAUCCAUGAUGUAAUGUCUGCCUCCCUGCAUGGUCACCUUCCAGAAUUUGGGAAGCAAAUAAGAUUUCUGGGGGUUCUACUCAACCCGGAAACAACCGUUUAAUCAGUCACUUGCCCGUCCCUUUUUAUAACCACAGCUCCAUUUUCAGGCAUCAGAGAGGUUGUCUUAUAUAACUCUGUCAUUUUAUUGACGAAGAAACUGAGGCUGAGUGAGAGGGAGUGGCCUGUCCAAGGUCUCAAAGAUAAGAUUAGAAAUCUCUGUGACACCGGGACCAGAGCCAAGCUCUUCCAACUGGAGGCAGGAUUUCGGGGUCUCUAUACAGCCAGGGACAACAGAAGAGAAAGUACACCUGUGCCUGCCUCUCUUUCUGUUCCUCGGAUGUAAACACAUCUGCAGGUGCACAAACAAGACCCAGGGCCGCGAAGCCAGGUGCUUGCUCACCACAGACAGAAGCCUCGUAACUAUGGUGACCUCUUCCUGUCCACAACCUCUGGUUUAUGCCAGCCAGAGUAGCCAGAAACUCAGCAUGGCCCCGGGGCACUGAGACAAAAGAGCACAGGAUAAUUUCCAAGGAAACGACUUGAAGUGUGUAACUCAGUACAGACCCUGGGGCAGGAAAGGGGAAAGCCCUGAGCUCAGGUUGCAAGUAUGACAUCAGAGUAUCCAUCCCCACUCAACUUCCUGGAAUGAGAGGGCAGUCCAGAAACCCAGAGGACGAGUCCAGAGGCCAAAAACCCCGGAGGAAAUCAAGUUUCCUUCUUUCUUGUUUUGGUGUGUGUGUGUGAUGUAUGUGGGUAUGGACAUGUGUGCAUGCAGGUGCAUAUACAAGUGAGUGCACAUGUGUGUUCCAACAUGUGAACGCCUGAAGACAUAGUGUGUCUUUCUCAGUCACUCUCACUUUGUUUUUGAGACAAAAUCACGGAAUCUAGAGCUCACCUAUUACACUACACUGGUACCAAUCUCCAGUGGCCCACCCAUCGCCUCCCCACCCAGCUGUGGGUGCUGAUGAUCCAAAGUCAGGCACUUUCACCAAAUGGA